GAUGAACGCUGGCGGCGUGCUUAACACAUGCAAGUCGAACGGUGAAGGCGGAGCUUGCUCUGCUGGAUCAGUGGCGAACGGGUGAGUAACACGUGAGCAAUCUGCCCCUGACUCUGGGAUAAGCGCUGGAAACGGCGUCUAAUACUGGAUACGAGCUGCGAAGGCAUCUUCAGCAGCUGGAAAGAAUUUCGGUCAGGGAUGAGCUCGCGGCCUAUCAGCUUGUUGGUGAGGUAAUGGCUCACCAAGGCGUCGACGGGUAGCCGGCCUGAGAGGGUGGCCGGCCACACUGGGACUGAGACACGGCCCAGACUCCUACGGGAGGCAGCAGGGGGGAAUAUUGCACAAUGGGCGAAAGCGUGAUGCAGCAACGCCGCGUGAGGGACGACGGCCUUCGGGUUGUAAACCUCUUUUAGCAGGGAAGAAGCGAAAGUGACGGUACCUGCAGAAAAAGCGCCGGCUAACUACGUG
rnacentral:rRNA from 1 species